rnacentral:rRNA from 1 species
CCUACGUGAGGCAGCAGUGGGGAAUAUUGCACAAUGGGGGGAACCCUGAUGCAGCGACGCCGCGUGAGUGAAGAAGUAUUUCGGUAUUUAAAGCUCUAUCAGCAGGGAAGAAAAUGAUGGUACCUGACUAAGAAGCCCCGGCUAACUACGUGCCAGCAGCCGCGGUAAUACGGAGGGGUCAAGCGUUAUCCGGAUUUACUGGGUGUAGAGGGAGCGCAGACGGCUGUGCAAGUCUGGAGUGAAAGGCGGGGGCCCAACCCCCGGACUGCUCUGGAAACUGUAAAGCUGGAGUGCAGGAGAGGUAAGCGGAAUUCCUAGUGUAGCGGUGAAAUGCGUAGAUAUUAGGAGGAACACCAGUGGCGAAGGCGGCUUACUGGACUGCAACUGACGUUGAGGCUCGAAAGCGUGGGGAGCAAACGGGAUUAGAUACCCUGGUAGUC